CGGACGGGUGAGUAACGCGUGAGGAACCUGCCUCAAAGAGGGGGACAACAGUUGGAAACGACUGCUAAUACCGCAUAAGCCCACGGCUCGGCAUCGAGCAGAGGGAAAAGGAGCAAUCCGCUUUGAGAUGGCCUCGCGUCCGAUUAGCUAGUUGGUGAGGUAAUGGCCCACCAAGGCGACGAUCGGUAGCCGGACUGAGAGGUUGAACGGCCACAUUGGGACUGAGACACGGCCCAGACUCCUACGGGAGGCAGCAUG
rnacentral:rRNA from 1 species